rnacentral:rRNA from 1 species
GAUGAACGCUAGCUACAGGCUUAACACAUGCAAGUCGAGGGGUAGCAGGGUAGCAAUACCGCUGACGACCGGCGCACGGGUGAGUAACACGUAUCCAACCUGCCUAUAACUCGGGGAUAGCCUUCUGAAAGGAAGAUUAAUACCCGAUGGCAUAUGUUCUUCGCAUGUUGAACAUAUUAAAGAAUUUCGGUUAUGGAUGGGGAUGCGUUUCAUUAGUUUGUUGGUGAGGUAACGGCUCACCAAGACUUCGAUGAAUAGGGGUUCUGAGAGGAAGGUCCCCCACACUGGUACUGAGACACGGACCAGACUCCUACGGGAGGCAGCAGUGAGGAAUAUUGGUCAAUGGGCGAGAGCCUGAACCAGCCAAGUAGCGUGAAGGAUGACUGCCCUAUGGGUUGUAAACUUCUUUUAUAAGGGAAUAAAGUUAGCCACGUGUGGCUUUUUGUAUGUACCUUACGAAUAAGGAUCGGCUAACUCCGUGCCAGCCGCCGCGGUAAAAC